UGUCUUGUCUACAAAGAUUAAGCCAUGCAUGUGUAAGUAUAAGUAUUGUACAGCGAAACUGCGAAUGGCUCAUUACAUCAGUUAUAGUUUAUUUGAUAUUUGAAAGUUACAUGGAUAACCGUGGCAAUUCUACAGCUAAUACAUGCUUCAAAACCUGACUUCGGAAGGGUUGUAUUUAUUAGAUAUUAAACCAUCCCCUCGGGGCUGUGAUGAAUCAUAAUAACUGAUCGAAUCGAGGUUCGCCUUGAUAAAUCAUUCAAGUUUCUGCCCUAUCAGCUGUAGAUGGUAGUGUAUUGGACUACCAUGGCUAUUACGGGUAACGGAGAAUUAGGGUUCGAUUCCGGAGAGGGAGCCUGAGAAACGGCUACCACAUCUACGGAUGGCAGCAGGCGCGAAAAUUGCCCAAUCCCGAUUCGGGGAGGCAGUGACAAGAG
rnacentral:rRNA from 1 species